rnacentral:ncRNA from 2 species
AAGAGGGAACCCGGUGGGAAUCCGGGACUGCCCCGCAGCGGUGAGCGGGAACGACCGCCGUCAUACGCACUGGGCCCGGCCGGGUCUGGGAAGCGACGGCCAGUAGGUGCCCUCCUCCGGGAGGACGUGCCCGCGAGUCCGAAGACCU